AUUGAACGCUGGCGGAAUGCUUUACACAUGCAAGUCGAACGGUAGAGGGGGCAACCCCUUGAGAGUGGCGAACGGGUGAGUAAUAUAUCGGAACGUGCCCAGUCGUGGGGAUAACGUAGCGAAAGUUACGCUAAUACCGCAUACGAUCUAAGGAUGAAAGCGGGGGAUCGCAAGACCUCGCGCGAUUGGAGCGGCCGAUAUCAGAUUGGGUAGUUGGUGAGGUAAAGGCUCACCAAGCCAACGAUCUGUAGCUGGUCUGAGAGGACGACCAGCCACACUGGGACUGAGACACGGCCCAGACUCCUACGGGAGGCAGCAGUGGGGAAUUUUGGACAAUGGGCGCAAGCCUGAUCCAGCAAUGCCGCGUGCAGGAUGAA
rnacentral:rRNA from 1 species